rnacentral:rRNA from 1 species
CAGGCCUAACAAUGCAAGUCUACGAGAAAAAAAUAGCAAUAUUUUUAGUAAAGUGGCGCAGGGUGAGUAACACGUAAGCAAUCUACCCUUAGGUUCGGAAUAACUUCGAAAAUCGGAGCUAAUACCGUAUGAUGCAGCGGCACCGCAUGGUGAUGUUGUAAAGUUCUUGAAACGCCAAAGGAUGAGCUUGCGUCUGAGUAGCUAGUUGUGAGGUAACGGCUCACCAAGGCUACGAUCAGUAGCUGGUCUGAGAGGAGAUCAGCCACACUGGAACUGAGACACGGUCCAGACUCCUACGGGAGGCACAGUGAGGAAUAUUGGGCAAUGCCCGAAAGGGUGACCCAGCAACGCCGCUGGAGGAUGAAUGCCGUAAGGUUGUAAACUCCUGUUAGAGGGGAAGAACAUUCCGAUAGCAUCGGAACAUGACUGUACCCUCAGAGAAAGCCCCGGCUACUACGUGCCAGCAGCCGCGGUAAU